AUCAUGGCUCAGGACGAACGCUGGCGGCGUGCCUAACACAUGCAAGUCGAGCGGGGACUUGUUGAGGAAGUCUUCGGAUGGAAUCGAUAAGUUCUAGCGGCGGACGGGUGAGUAACGCGUGAGCAACCUGCCCUCCACAGGGGGAUAACGCACCGAAAGGUGCACUAAUACCGCAUAAGACCACGGCACUGACAUGGUGCAGGGGUCAAAGGAGCAAUCCGGUGGAAGAUGGGCUCGCGU
rnacentral:rRNA from 1 species